CGCCUAGCAUAGUGGUGUGGUGGUGUUUUGCAGAUCGACAGGUCGUGGGUUCGAAACCCAUUGGCGA
rnacentral:tRNA from 1 species